rnacentral:rRNA from 1 species
GAUGAACGCUGGCGGCGUGCCUAAUACAUGCAAGUCGAGCGAACAGACGAGGAGCUUGCUCCUCUGACGUUAGCGGCGGACGGGUGAGUAACACGUGGAUAACCUACCUAUAAGACUGGGAUAACUUCGGGAAACCGGAGCUAAUACCGGAUAAUAUAUUGAACCGCAUUGUUCAAUAGUGAAAGACGGUUUUGCUGUCACUUAUAGAUGGAUCCGCGCCGCAUUAGCUAGUUGGUAAGGUAACGGCUUACCAAGGCAACGAUGCGUAGCCGACCUGAGAGGGUGAUCGGCCACACUGGAACUGAGACACGGUCCAGACUCCUACGGGAGGCAGCAGUAGGGAAUCUUCCGCAAUGGACGAAAGCCUGACGGAGCAACGCCGCGUGAGUGAUGAAGGUCUUCGGAUCGUAAAACUCUGUUAUUAGGGAAGAACAAAUGUGUAAGUAACUAUGCACAUCUUGACGGUACCUAAUCAGAAAGCCACGGCUAACUACGUG